CGUAUACAAAUAAAAUUGUAGAAAAUUUGAACCACUUUUAAUACUGCACACUGGCCGUAUUUUUUAAGAGAUAGAUAGUGUGUUACCUCUGCUUCGUUUAUUUUAUUUAGAAUUAAACUUAAGUUAGAAAUGUGAAUCAACUAGAAUUCGAACUUGAAAUCUCGGGUACCAGCAACCAAAUUUUUUGUCACUUACGUUAGGAACAGUCGGUCUUUUAAACAAACUUAAAUGUUAACUUAAACAACACAUUUUA
rnacentral:lncRNA from 1 species